rnacentral:rRNA from 1 species
UACGGAAGGGGCAAGCGUUGUUCGGAAUCAUUGGGCGUAAAGGGCGCGUAGGUGGUUCUGUAUGUCUACCGUGAAAGCGUACGGCUCAACCGUAUUUUGUCGGUGGAAACUGCAGGACUUGAGGCUGGGAGGGGCUGGUGGAAUUCCCUGUGUAGCGGUGAAAUGCGUAGAGAUGGGGGAGAACACUCGUGGCGAAGGCGGCUCACUGGACCGGAACUGACGCUGAGGCGCGAAAGCGUGGGGAGCAAACAGG